AUGCCCCAGGUGACUUCUGCAGGUCCCUCUGAGCGUGGGGGGUGUGAGCUGACUCGGGAGCAGGAUGGGGAUGGUUAUUUUUAAAGCCUGUAAAGCUGCUGCUCUGUAGAUCUGCAAGAGUGCACGUGGGAGUGCAAGGGACUGGAGACAGGGAAGAGGGAAGAUAAACCUCUGUCUUCCUGUCCCUUUGGUCAUCCAAACAUGCCUGGAAGGUUUUCCAGAGGGACACCGCGGUCCAGCACUGGGAGCUGGAGUGGGCUGUGGCUGAGGGUGAGAAGUGAGGAGCCCUGGGGUGUUUCAGUGCCGUGUUUAUGCCUUUCUCUGUGCUGUGAUCUUGCCAGCUGGGAUGAGAGGUACAAGAGUAUUUGAUGGUUUUGGCACAGCUGCCCUUGCUGAGUGUCUGGUAUCUGUUUAUUCUCUUGCCUCGGUGGGGCUGGGAGAAGCUCCAGCUCUGCCAAGCUGCCCUCUGCAUCCUCAGCAGCAUCAGCUGGGAAUGACAGAAAGACCUGGGCUGCUGUCUCCCGUGUUUUGGGCAGGGAUCUGAACCUGCUACUCCUUCUGGAGACACCUAAAGCUCACCCUGCUCCCCACAUGAGCAGCGUGGUGUGGAAGGAGUUGAUCUGUGUGCUGAGAGCCCUCCCCAAGUGCAGGACCAGCACAAUGCCGUCCCGUGGGUGUCUCCUGAUUGUGCCCAUUCCUGUGUCCUGCACUCACUGCAGAGCAGAAGAGCCAUGUCAGUACCGUGAAAUCAUAAUCCCUUCAGCAUUUCCUUUUCUGACCCAGCCAUGCUCUGACCGUGGAGAAUGACACAACACUUUGGGUUUGCCCUGGGCAGCCUUCCCAAGUGGGCUCUCAGGAGCUCUGUGCCCUCAGCCAGGGCCCUGUGGCAGCUUCUCUCUGAAUCAUCGGCCCUGCCGAAGGCUCUGGGGGCUUGCUGCCUUGUUUUUCCAGCUGGUUACGUUGUAUUUUUAGUAAAAGAUAUUUAAACCUAAACCCCAGUUGUCUACAUUUCAGCCAUUUUUUUUCCCUGGGAUGUUUGUGGAUUUCUAGCAGUGCCAGGGCAUCUCCCCUACCUGUUCUGCCUCUGUUCCACUCUGGAGCUGGCCUGGCACUUCUUCAGUGGCUUGCAGAGAAAUCUUUGGGUCAGAUGAAUUCAGGUCAAUGGAACUUGCCCUUCCCUCCCCUGAGACCAGUUGGUUUACAACUCUUCACUGUGCCUGCAUUUCUGGCAUGAGGAAAAAGGAAUCUUGUGUCUUCUGGUUGGAUUCCAGCUGGGUUUUUAAGGUUUGAGACUUUGCCUCUUUCAUCUUCAAACACUUGGCUAAACUGCCCUUCCCUAAAUGCUGCUGACGGAUGUUGCUUUAAAAAUCGUUUAGGAUUUUUUCCUCUUUGAAGGACAUCACCGAGAGAAACCCUGGCUGAUUCAAUCUGUAGGUGCCAUUCCACAGAAAGAUCAUGAGACAGAAGCCAAAAGGCACUUGAGGUUCCCUUUGCUGCUCUGUGGGUCACAAACAUGCAGUCCAAGCUGGAGCAGAGCAGAGGGCAAGUUCUCCAACAUCCCAGAGCAGGGAAGCCUCAGGAGCCCUGUGCUGCCUUAGGUGUCCUGCUUUCCACUUUCCUGAGGCCCUGUGGCCAAAAUGCCUGUGAGCAGUGUCUGACAAUCCCAUUUUGGGUAACUUUUGAGCACCCAAAGCUCUGCUGCAUGCUCCUGAAAUAACCUCGGUGGCGUUUUCCAAGUUUGUACAAGGUAUGUUUGCUACCAGCACAAAUGAAAUCCCUCCUGUAAACACAUACCUUCAGCCUGAGGGUAAGCUCUGCCCUGAGAUGCUGCAGAUGGGGGAGCAGGCUGCACCCAGAAUAUCUGUGUGUUUCGGUUCUUUCUGUGGGUAGACAUCAGCAGCAGCUCCUGGCUCUGGCUUUACGCAGUGGCCGUCACCAUCCGAGGUGACUAUUCUCACAUUGAAGGUAGCUCAGGCUCCCUCCCACACCCUUCUGUGCUGUGUGUGGAGAGCUGCACACGCAGGGGGGGAGAGGCACCUUUUUCCAGGUUUGUGCUAUCCCUUUGCAGCUCACUCUGUGAUCUCUGCUAAAAAUAACCUGAAGCGGCGACAGCGGCGAUUGCUCCGCGCCCACGCUGCAGCCCUGUCCCUCCCGGCCCUGCCAGCAGGACGCUGCCAAAGCACAGCCCUCGUGUGCCUGGGCCACAACCAAAGGCUCUUGGAAAGGGAGGAAAUCCAAGAGUUCCUCAAAAGAGUCAGGAAGCUCGCAGUUGGUGCUGUGAGAUUGACGGAGUGUGAGCCUCCGUGGCCAUCUCAGCUGAAACUCCAGUGGUCACUGCAGAGCUGCUGCUGGUUCCUCCAGGACCUGGAAAUCCGUGGAGCUGUGGGAACGGGCAGGUACCUCAGCAAAUCCCUUCUCAGCCCACUGCCCCUCUCCUGGGGCUCCCAGCCAGCAGUGUUCUGGCCAGACUGGCCCUGUGGCUGGGCAGGACGUGGGAGCAGAACAUCCAGAACAUCUCCAGUGUGCUGUGGUGCUGCCUGGAAAUUUCCCUGACGCUGCAGGGACUGGGCAGCAGCUGUGGCCACUCUCAAUAUUUGGCUUUUCCAGCCUGUCCCUGGUAAAGCUCUGAGCUCAAACUGGCUGCUCUGCCUUGUCAGCUGAAGGAAUUGAGUGGGUUUGUUGCUCCAGCAGUGCCUGACAGCUGCCUGGCCUGUUCCUGGCAGAGCCUUUGCUCUGUGUCCUUGGCAGGGCUGGGCUAUGGCGAGCAGCAGCUUCUGAGCUCUUAGAAAACACAAAUAAAAGCCUGUUUGAGGAGCAGAGUCUCUGAUGAGCUGCAGACUCUAACGGAUAAUUGAAGAGGGGUCAGCUUACAGGACUUGCACACGAGGAAUGCAGCAGAGUCUGCUCCAGCAGCCCUCCCACAUGGUCCCUGACCCUUCCAAACCACUCCGGUUUCUUCUCUGCCAUUUCCAUCCCCCUGGUGAGUUUGUAGAAGCUGCCUCAUGUUCUGUCUGCAGAAAGCCUCUUGUACUGAAGGAAAAUAAAUCCCUGAAAAUCUG